rnacentral:rRNA from 1 species
CGUAAACAACCUGCCUUCAGGAUGGGGACAACAGACGGAAACGACUGCUAAUACCGAAUAAGUUCCAAGAGCCGCAUGGCCCAUGGAAGAAAAGGUGGCCUCUACCUGUAAGCUAUCGCCUGAAGAGGGGUUUGCGUCUGAUUAGCUGGUUGGAGGGGUAACGGCCACCAAGGCGACGAUCAGUAGCCGGUCUGAGAGGAUGAACGGCCACACUGGAACUGAGACACGGUCCAGACUCCUACGGGAGGCAGCAUG